CCCUAUCUGCCGUGAGCGUUGGAAGAUUGAAGGGGGCUGCUCCUAGUACGAGAGGACCGGAGUGGACGAACCUCUGGUGUUCGGCUUGUGUCGCCAGACGCAUUGCCCGGUAGCUAAGUUCGGAAUCGAUAACCGCUGAAAGCAUCUAAGCGGGAAGCGAGCCCUGAGAUGAGUCUUCCCUGAUACUUUAAGUAUCCUAAAGGGUUGUUGGAGACUACGACGUUGAUAGGUCAGGUGUGUAAGUGCUGUGAGGCAUUGAGCUAACUGAUACUAAUUGCCCGUGAGG
rnacentral:rRNA from 1 species